UACUAGAAGUUGCUGAGCCUCAUCAGCUGCCUCCACAGCCCUGGGAGGAGAGGAAGUACUGAUGGGAUCCCAGGCGUGUGGCUUUUCAAGCUUGUGCCAAGGCAGUGCAUGGAGUCAUGUUCCUCCCAGGGUUUUGUCUUGGUCCUACUGACCCCAGUGGAAGUCCAGGCUGCUAAAUGACUCACUCUUACCAUGCUUCAUCCUCGAACAGCUUUCUGCACUGAGUAUGUGUUUUGGAAACAAGCCAGCCUGAUCCUACAAAUCCUGUUUUUCUGUGUGAUUUGUUUUACAAGAGCACUCACAUGAGAUAUGGUGCAGGGAGGAAGGCGGGGGGGUC
rnacentral:lncRNA from 1 species